rnacentral:rRNA from 1 species
GACGAACGCUGGCGGCGUGCCUAAUACAUGCAAGUUGAGCGAUGAAGAUUGGUGCUUGCACCAAUUUGAAGAGCAGCGAACGGGUGAGUAACGCGUGGGGAAUCUGCCUUUGAGCGGGGGACAACAUUUGGAAACGAAUGCUAAUACCGCAUAAUAACUUUAAACAUAAGUUUUAAGUUUGAAAGAUGCAAUUGCAUCACUCAAAGAUGAUCCCGCGUUGUAUUAGCUAGUUGGUGAGAUAAAGGCUCACCAAGGCGAUGAUACAUAGCCGACCUGAGAGGGUGAUCGGCCACAUUGGGACUGAGACACGGCCCAAACUCCUACGGGAGGCAGCAGUAGGGAAUCUUCGGCAAUGGACGAAAGUCUGACCGAGCAACGCCGCGUGAGUGAAGAAGGUUUUCGGAUCGUAAAACUCUGUUGGUAGAGAAGAACGUUGGUGAGAGUGGAAAGCUCAUCAAGUGACGGUAACUACCCAGAAAGGGACGGCUAACUACGUG